CCACGAUGCGCAAGGGCUGAGAGUGGUCCGGCAUAAUCGAUGCCGCAAUGGCUAAAGGAACGAGACGGCGUGACUCGCUAUACCGCAUUCGCCUCUGCCGGGAAGAGUUCCCGACUCUCUGGCCACUCCUGAGGAGCUUGCGAGAGCCAGGAAGGUCCAUGCCACCAGAGCGGAUGCUGCGACAAUAAGAGCAGCGAUGAACCCCGAGAAGCGCAGUCUGCAGGAUUCCAAUGCGUGGAAUUUCGGUAACCUGUAUUCUCAGUUGGAGAGUUUGAACGUGAUCAUCGGAUCCGAAAAGUGCGUCGUCAACGUAAAUAUCUUCGUUGAUAAUGGGAACGACUAAAGGAAAUUGGGUUCCUUCAUCUACAGCGAGCUGUUUAAUCACUCGAUUCGCGAGAAAAGGAGCAGACGCCGUGCCGUAA